rnacentral:rRNA from 1 species
UACAGAGGGUGCGAGCGUUAAUCGGAAUUACUGGGCGUAAAGAGUGUGUAGGCGGUGCCCUAAGUUCGGUGUGAAAUCUCCCGGCUUAACUGGGAGGGUGCGCCGGAAACUGGAGUGCUCGAGCGUGGGAGAGGAAAGCGGAAUUCCUGGUGUAGCGGUGAAAUGCGUAGAUAUCGGGAGGAACACCAGUGGCGAAGGCGAUCAUCUGGGGUUGUUCUGACACUGAGGAGCGAAAGCUAGGGGAGCAAACGGG